rnacentral:rRNA from 1 species
CCUACGGGUGGCUGCAGUGAGGAAUAUUGGUCAAUGGGCUUACGCCUGAACCAGCCAAGUCGCGUGAGGGAAGACUGCCCUAUGGGUUGUAAACCUCUUUUGUCAGGGAGCAACGCCGGCUACGUGUAGCCGGACUGAGAGUACCUGAAGAAAAAGCAUCGGCUAACUCCGUGCCAGCAGCCGCGGUAAUACGGAGGAUGCGAGCGUUAUCCGGAUUUAUUGGGUUUAAAGGGUGCGUAGGCGGAAUGCCAAGUCAGCGGUAAAAUCGCGGGGCUCAACCUCGCUCCGCCGUUGAUACUGGCAGCCUUGAGUACAGUUGAGGUAGGCGGAAUUCGUGGUGUAGCGGUGAAAUGCUUAGAUAUCACGAAGAACUCCGAUUGCGAAGACAGCCUACUAAACUGCCACUGACAUUGAUGCUCGAAAGUGUGGGUAUCAAACAGGAUUAGAUACCCCUGUAGUC